ACCUCGGUGGUGUAGUGGUAGCACAAGUCCCCUGUAUGCAUGAAACUCGGGUUCGACUCCCACCUGAGGUC